CUUCAUUCUCUUUUUAAGGUUUUCCCCUACAAUUUUCUCACGCACAUGGAUGCUCCAUUCCUUUGCAUGUAUGCAUGUAUGACAUACAUACAUUCGGCACCAUCCUCAACUCCUUCCAUCCUUCUACCCUUCUCCUAUAAUACCCUCCAUCCCUGCCUCCAUCGUUCGUCCGGAAGCAAGAAAACAAAAAAAAAAAAAAAAAAACAGAGAGAGAGAGAGAGAGAGAGAGGGAAACGAGAGAGAAGGAGAGAAGGAAACCGACGAAAUCCUCUCGCAUCUAGGGUUGCAGAAACUCUAACCGAUUUUUCUAUCCCUUUUCUCUCUCUCCAACGCCCUACAUUCUGAAAAUCCAUGGAAUUUCCAUCCUAGGUUUCUUCCACGCGCUCCUUGAUCUGCAUUACCGGGAUUUUCUGGAGAGAAAACGGGGGGUUUUUAGGGUUUAUAGCUGAGAAAGAAUAGAAGCCUCUGAAAUCCCAAUUUUUUUUUCCUAAAAUUUCUAGAAAUCUGUUCUGUUUUCCUGUUUGUAGAGGUGGAUCUGACCAUCGGAGAUCUUCAAGGUGCUUUGUGUUUGUCACUUCAGAGUUUUCUGGAGAGGAAUUGAGAGGUUUUCGGGUUGCUGGCUUCAGAGAUACUGAAUCCUCUGAAUUUGAGUUUUUCCAUCUCCUUUUUAGAGACACCGACCGUUUUUUUGCUCGGAUCGGAGCUCAAUCAGCGCGGAAGCUCGGAUCUCUGGAGUUUCUAGACCUUUGGCUUGCUCAUUUUCACUGAAUUUUUCUCGUGUCCUAAAAUGAUUUGGCAAAGAAAAUGGACGGGGUGAAUUUCUCAUCAACAUUACAGUGACCCUACCUAGCUCCCAUGGCAAGGAGUUCAUGGGAAAGAUUUCCGAAGAAAAGUCUGGUGGGUUUGUCACUUGUGAGAGCCAUUCCGAAGAAAAACGUGUUGACAAUAUAGUGGGUAUUGCAUAUGCAAUGGAUAUGCUGGAUUAUGUUGAAAAGGUCAGUUCUGCUAUGGUUUUGAUUUUUUUAUUUCACUUGUGCUCAUGAGACUUACUUGUAAUAUGUUUAGGAGUGUAAGUGUUUACCACUCUUUCUAUGGCAUGGGACAAUUUGAUCAAUCUGCUUUUGAAGGUUGAUAAACUACAAAGUUCUACUGUGGGAGAAAUUGUGCAUAAGCCUACCUACUUUGUACCUGGAUAUGGUGAAGCUUGUGAUUCAGAGAUAUACUAGAGAAGCUGGUGUGUGAAAUCUAGAGAGAAACUUAGCUGCCCUGGCUCGUGUAGCUGCUGUCAAAGCUGCUGAGCAAGAAUGUGCAGUUCUAGUCAGCAAAGAGGUAUACCUGAUGGCAAAAUGACUUCUUGAUACAAGACUUGCAGAUGGUGCUGAAGUUGAAAUGGAAGUCAUUCCAAUGGGUGUUAACGGACAUGAAAUAUCAAAUGCUUUUAGGAGUACCCUCAGCAUUGGUUGUAGAUGAGGCUAUGCUGGAAAAGAUACUGGGGCCUCCUAGGUUUGAUGACGGAGAAAAUGUAGAAGGUAUGGCAACUCCUGGAGUAUCAGUUGGACUUGUCUGGACCUCCUUUGGUGGAGACGUCUAGUUCGUUGAAGCCACAUCAAUGGUGGGAAAGGGUGAUUUGCAUCUCACUGGCCAACUUAGUGAUGUUAUCAAAGAAUCUGCUCAAAUAGCUCUAGCAUGGGUAAUUUUUGUUCAUUUCUUCUUAUUUGACAUGGAUUGUUCGGUUCUUAUGAGUCACAGAUGCCAGCAUGGUUUUAAAUGGCAACCCCAUUCCUCAUGCAUCCAUCCCUUGUUUCCAUGAUAGGCAACCUUUAGCUUGUGGUCUCAAUUUCAUGUUCAGUUUUGACCUUGUCCUAUUGGCUAUUUCAGAAAUCCUCAUUGCUGAUGUAUCUUAUUUGUUUUAGGACAGACUUCAUUAGAAAUGAAAUUCCUCAACUGA